rnacentral:ncRNA from 2 species
AGCAGCAUUGUACAGGGCUAC